rnacentral:rRNA from 1 species
AUACAGUGGUGCAUGGUUGUCGUCAGCUCGUGCCGUGAGGUGUUGGGUUAAGUCCCGCAACGAGCGCAACCCUCAUUGUUAGUUACUACCAUUCAGUUGAGGACUCUAAUGAGACUGCCAACGAUAAGUUGGAGGAAGGUGGGGAUGACGUCAAAUCAUCAUGCCCUUUAUGACCUGGGCUACAAACGUACUACAAUGGCCAAUACAAAGAGAUGCGAAGCGGUGACGUGGAGCGAACCUCAGAAAGUUGGUCUCAGUUCAGAUUGAAGUCUGCAACUCGACUUCAUGAAGGCGGAAUCGCUAGUAAUCGCGGAUCAGCUACGCCGCGGUGAAUACGUUCUCGGGCCUU